UCUCUCUCGGCCCCGUUCUUUCGUCUCUCUCCCCGACCUCUCCUCUUCUUCGACCUGGCUGUGUUACCCUCACCCUAGUGUGCCGCUGCCCCCAGCCACUACCGGCGCGAACAUCAAGCCACGACUCAAUCUCUCGAUCUCGACCCUGAGUGGCGGUCGCCACCGCCAGGCAUAGGCAUCGAACGGGGUGCGACGAAUUUAUUUCAAACUUCCUCCAUGUCAUAGGCAUCGCGUUGCCGUUGUGGGCCGCCGGCCGCCGGACGGUCGGAGCAUCCCAAUCUCGCAAGAAGAGCUUAUGGAAGGGAUGACCUUAAACGGCCGUCGACACGUUCUACCCCCCGGCCAAGCUGGUUGCGAUGAACAAGGGCUGGUCCUCCACUAAUUCUGCUGCAAGCAGUUGCUUGCCCCGUUCAGCGUCAAGUGAACAGUACAAGAUAUACUUACAAUGACGCAUACAUAUUUGCUGAUGGUAUUUAAGGUGCUCUUCACAGUGCGGCCAUCACUUCUGUUUGCCUGGUAAUAUUUGACAUUUGGCAUAAUAAGAUUAGUAAUACCCAUAAGUGAUCUUUAUUGCCCAAACAGUGAGUCUACAAUGAGAGUUUCCCAUUCCUGCAAGAACUUAGAAGUGUUCUGACAUAGAUAGAUAGUACAUAUUGUAUAGUAAGCAUUGAACUUAAGUAACUCCAAUUGCAGUUGGUUAAUCAUUCUCUUCCAAAAUUAAGAUGUUACAAGUUAUAUCAACAACUUUUCCCAUUUGCCAUUAGUAUUUAAUACUAUUGCAUUCAUAAAUUGAUAUAGGAUAAGUUCAGAUUUACUUGACAGAGUGAAAGAUGAAGGGAAGGCCAAAAUUCACCUGCAACAAUUUUAGCAGAAAAGUUAUCGUGUGGCCGGUUAGAGAUAUAAUAAGGGUGAGAGCUAGGAACACAUUAAAAGCUAAGUCAGGCUAAAUGAAUGGCAAAUCGACAAAUUUGUUACUGGAGCAGUGGCCCACCCCGUGUAACGCUUACUUAUAUGCAAUCGAAGCCUAGACGAGACUGAUGAGAAACCAAAGGCAUCGUUGUCUGCCGCCAACACACUCCCUUUUGCCUACGAUGUCCUUCUCCUCUAUGUGCAACGGAUGAUGGUUCUGGUUGUGUACUCAAUAAGGUGAGUUGGCUGUUGCUUGAUUUAAAAUUGGGACAAUAGGUUUCUUGAUUUGUCCCGUGGCAACCUUUUUUCUGGUAGGUUUUUUCAAACAAUUCUUCUUCUAUGAUAAGUUGAUAACACUGAGAUUAUCAGGAAAGGAUUCAGAGUUUGCUGAAUCCAGAUUACCACACACAUGAUGCAGAAUUAACAACCAGGACUUUGAAGGAUGGAUGACGGUGCUUAUUAUGUGGUAGAAAUCAAAUAUCGAAAGGAGAAUAUAAUGUUAUCGAAGUCGAGGGGAGAGACAUAUGGGCUGGGAGUUCUGGAUUUGAUGUCGUCACACUGAUCAAUUCCACCGUGCUAGAUGAAAAUCCCGUCGCCAUCGAUGCCUCGUUCGCCGUGUGUGCUGGCCCUUACCUCCGCACUGGCAUAUGGUAGUUUCUUCCUUCCUGAUGUUCAAUUGAUAAGCAUGAUCAUGUUGUGUCAUAGCGUGUACAUUUGCUCGGAAGAAAUAGGUGUCUGCUUAUUUCCUUUC